ACGAUGCCGGAAAAUUAUUUCUAGUCUGCAUUUUCUGUAAGAGCUGUUUGUUCAAGUAUGAUAAUACACAUCAAAAAACAGCACAGCACUAAUCAGGCGCCCAUCCACUCCGCCCCCUACCCUCCUGUCAUUUGCUCCCAAACACAGGCGCUUGAGAACGCGCCCCAUAGGGAACGCGUCAAGGCGUGUUUUUUUUUUGUUUGUUUUUUUCCCUGUCGUGGCGCAAGCACCUGCAGGGUGUUCAGGAUGGAGGGGCAGAAAAAAAAGCUCUCCGGGGCACAAAACAGAAAACGGAAGAGGGAGAGAGAAAAAGAUGUUGUAGGGAUGAAGAAAAGCUUCUCAAAGUGGUUGAAAGACAGCAGCCUGAUGAGCUAAAAGUUGUGCGGAGGUUGCUCUGCUGCAGAUCAUGAGCCAGCCACCCAUCUGCAAAACCAUCAUCCAGCUUAUCGAGUGGUUUGAUGAGCCUGAGUGCUACAUCUUGAUCCUGGAGCACCCUAACCCUUGCAAGAGCUUGGACAGUUUUCUUCAGGACUAUGGAGGUUACGUCACUGAAGACUAUAUAAUGUGGCAGUCAGUGGUGGCAGUGUUUCAGACCUAAAACAGGAGAACUUGCUGAUCAACCUGGACACCUUGGCAGUCAAGCUGAUUGACUUUGGCUGUGGUGAUUUGAUCAAGGAAUCUGGUUAUAACAUGUUUGAAGUUAAAAUGAUAUCUGUUCAUUUUUAGUACAUAAAUUAAUGUUUUUGCUUAGCUCUGCUUAUUUCUCUCCUUCUUUCAUGUUCUCAGGCACAAUUGAACACUGCCCUCCUGAGUUUCUGAAGAAUUUGCAGUAAUGCAGUAUUUACAGGCUUAAUGUUCUGCAGCAUAUACUGCAGCAAGAUUGGUUACAAUGUGAUGUGCCAACCUAGGAUCAGGUUAUCCAGGGAAGAGAGAAAAUGACCACUAACAGAAGAAGCAGAAUAGUUUAAUUUGUUUUGAUAAGGCAGACAAAUGAGACUAUGUGAUGUGUACAUGCUUAAUUUUAAUGAAAAUUAAGAAGAGCUCCAGAAGUGCUUCUCUAUCUAAUGCAUGUCUUUUGGUUUAUGUUCCAGGUCAUUUUUAGAGGAGGGCAGUUAAGGGCACAUCAUAGUUCAGUCCACCACAUUUUUCAGAACACAGGAGACUAACUAUCAGGAAAUGAACACUGAAGCAUUGCAGUUCUUGUCAUUGUGUUUUACUUAAAAAACCUUGCUAACA